CCUCAGCACCCCCGCUCACGGCGGGCUGCGGCCGCGGAGCUCCGGCGGCGAUCGGCGGCUCCGCGCGCACUGCAGCAGCGCCCGCCGCCGUCAGGUCCCUUAGGAAAUUAAAAUCAUCCUGUGUUCACACCGGGAAGAAGUUCUGCUGCAUGCAUAGUCUUCCAGUACUAGAAGAAAGGUCAUACGACUUUUUUGCAAAUAUGUAAUUGCUGUUAAGUGUAGGCAGAAUACCUGCCUGCCUUGAAACUUGACGCAUCCAAGAGGAAGUUGGGUACAGCCACUUCUAGGGGAAGAAUGUGGCUGUGAACAGCAGAGGCAAAGAAAGACAUAAAUAGUUACCAGAAGAGUUAUAAUUAGCCAACAUAUAUGCGGUCUUUGAAAGAUGAAAAUAAUUAACAAUUGCGGUGGAGUUACUGUUAACAGCAGCAGCCCUUUUCCUGAGAGGCCAUCCCUGGUAAGUGCUUUUGCAAGUAGGGGUAGUCCCUUGGUAUGUGAGCACUUGCAAAGAAUGAGAUGGGGCAUAAAAAUCUUGCUGGAAACAUCUGAUGCAGGAUUUUGUUAGGUUUCUUGAGCAAGGAUACAACUAUAUAUGUAUUUUACACAUGUAAACUUGCAGGUCUUGCUUCUGUGAUUUCUUCUAGGACUCUGGCAUCAUCAGUUUACCUGGCUUUUUUGUUUUAUGGUGCCAGCCUGACACCUGUACCUUCCUCUCCAGCAGACACAACUGAACUGUAGUGUCUCUGUCAGCAUGCCUGUCAGCAACCCGAGCUGCAGCGUCAGGGAGAAGAGAACAGUGAUCAGAGUUUAAAAACCUGCUCAGAAAAGAUGACAGAACUCAUUAUGCACCAUCCUGAUCUCAUUGCUGUAUGCGCCUUCCAUUUCUCUCUUUCCUAGCUAGGUGUUACCCAUUUGUUCUUCUGGCUCCAUCAUAAGCUUCAUCCUUCGUGUCUCAGCUAUGUGUGUUGCAUGUUCCUUGUGUUUGCAUAUAAGCACGUAUAAUUCAGGAUCUUACAGUUAAUCUGCAAACCUGAUUAACGCUCAGCAAAUACUGCUAGCAGCUGACUUGCUUUAUCAUCUGAGGUCUGAAAACGGGGAAUGCAUGGAAGUCUUAUACUACCAAUGCUUUGUAGGUUUCUCUGUAUGUGUGACCUCCAAUCAAAAGCCCUAGAACUCAAUUAUAACCUUUCUGUCCCUACCCAUGGCUUUAGAAACAGCCUCUAACUGUGAUGCUGUGACAAAUACAAGCUAAAAAUGCUAUUAAAUAUGGAUGAUGUGUGUUCUACUGUAUUAGAUAACAUGGCCACGUUCAUCAUGUGCUAAUGCUGCCAAUGCACAGCUUUGCUAAUGCAGCCUCCCUCUCGCUCUUGCUUUGGGCAAUUUAAGAGGCGUUUUGGUUACACUUUACCUUUACUUUCUUCCUUUUCACUUUUUUUUUCUUUAUUCAUUACUCUGAAAAUGGUGGUCUGCAGCAGAGACUGGGCAGAGCUCAUGUUUCCCAGCUUUCCUAAGCUGUAGUUCACUAAGAAGCCAAGCCGGUCUGGAAACCAAUUGGAGAGGUUGGUAGACAAUGCUUUAGUGAAAAGCAGAUACCCAAGUCCCUCCUCCUUUCUGAGGCCACUGCUGCACUGUUUGAAUCUAUCACCCUUCCCUUUAUAUCACCAGCUUAUCCCCAGCUUACGCUCACCAUCCUUUGUCAAAAGGGAAUGGAAGAAUUGCCUGUGUUCUGCUCCCUCAGUGAUCGCAUCCUCUUGGGGCUCAGCUGGGAGUUCACCUGUCUGACCUGAUGCUUUUCUGUUCAUUAGUGUAACUCAGGCCUGUUACCAUUUCGGUUUUGCAGCAUUGUAAUUAUGGCAGUUGGCAGAAUACCUUUUGCUUUAUACUGAUACGGCUAGCUACCUUGCUGUGAAUGCAGUGACAGCAGUAGAAGAGGUGUCUUCUACCAGCAUACUUUAGGUAUCUGCAUGUUUUGCCUGACUCUGAGCUAGGUGGGCAUGAGUCAGCUCUGACCCAGAAGCCAUCUGGCCGUGCAGUGCUGUACUGAGCUCAUCAGGCUGCUCUCUCAGAAGGUUUCUUCACUCAGGCAAAACAUUUACAGCUCUUUGGCAGUUCAGCCAUGUACCCGUCAGGAGAGAGGUGGGCAAGUGUCCAUUUGCAUCCCUUGCAACAAGCCUUGUCUGCAUUUCCUUACGGCCUCCCAGAAGGAGAAUGAGCUGUAAAUCUGUAAAUACAGUGGGAUGACCGAGUCCAGUCUUGGGAGAGCAUGCUGCAGUAUCUGUAUCAGGGCAGAUAACACGGUGCCUGAGCUCUUGUUAUUCUAGCCACAUGUGUUCAUGAAAUGGAGCCUGUUUUAGCCACUCGCCAACUGCAGGCUCAGGAGCAGUGACCACAGCAGCUUACUGGUUUCGUUCUUGCUGACAUGAUGAUUCCCGACUUCCACCCCUUGCAGGUAAUGUUGCCUUAGCUGUUUGGGGUCACCCAGCUUUCUCUUGUCAAGUAGUGCAAUGUCAAAGCAACGCAGCUGAUGCACAUGCUGUUGGCACAGAUCCUCUUCUAUUCUCUCACUCCAGAAGUGCUCUGAGAGUCCUCCUGAGUGCUGACGCUACUUUUGCUCUUCCUACCUAACUUUUACCUUUAGCUCUUAAACCCUGGAAAUCCCCGAACACAGAGUCGGGCACAGCAUUGGAGGGGGCCAGAGCGGGGCAUGCACUUUCCUGAGCUACCACAGUAUAUGUGUAAGUUUUCGUUUGGAAAGAGGGCAUUCACAAAAGGGCAUGUUAAGCCCUGUCCGCUUUGUAUAUACUGUGGCUCUGCCCUCACCAGGGGAAAGAUGAAUUCUUGGUGCUCUCUGACAAGUGAUAAUUGCUGGGAGGUAUAAAACUGAUGAAGGUGAGGCAAAUUGUAACCUUAGAGUGUGCAUUUUCCUGGCUUCCCUUUUCUUGACCUGCUAACAUACAAAGUGGCAGAUGGCUUUGGUUUUGCUUGGAUUUUACCCCACUAUCUAAUCCAGGAAUAGUUUUUACUGCAUAGGGCUGUGGCCUGUGGUAAUGUAAAGGGAGUAUUUGCCUGUGGGCGAGGGUCCUGCUCUCAGAGGCCUGUCUGAAAAACCCUGUGCCUCCACCCAUGGCUGCGUCUCUUCUGUGACGGUUCAGCGUUCAAGCCAAACACAGUGUGCUCAAACCACAGGUAUGACACGGGUCAGCCACAGUCACGCUCUUCACCCCAGUCCAUCUCAGUCUCUCUGUCCUGGUUUCAGCUGGGAUAGAGUUAAUUGUCUUCCUAGUAGCUGGUACAGUGCUAUGUUUUGAGUUCAGUAUGCAAAGAAUG